UAACCUGUGGGGAGAUUUGAAGGGCCAGGUGAAUGUGACAUGUUUUUGUGUAACACUAAGGUGCAUUCUGUUAAAAGCCAUUCAUCAUUGUUGUAUACCCUGGAGCUGGAAGGAGAUGGGGACUGGUUCUCAGCCUUGCCUCUCACCGGCGGAGAACUGAGGCCGGAGGGGGGACAGGCCCCACCUCGGACACAGGCUGGGGCUGCAUGCUGCGGUGUGGACAGAUGAUCUUUGCCCAAGCCCUGGUGUGCCGGCACCUAGGCCGAGAUUGGAGGUGGACACAAAGGAAGAGGCAGCCAGACAGCUACUUCAGCGUCCUCAACGCAUUCAUCGACAGGAAGGACAGUUACUACUCCAUUCACCAGAUAGCGCAAAUGGGAGUUGGCGAAGGCAAGUCCAUAGGCCAGUGGUACGGGCCGAACACUGUCGCCCAGGUCCUCAAGUAUGUACUGUGCUUCCACUGCCG
rnacentral:lncRNA from 1 species